rnacentral:rRNA from 1 species
AGAAUCAACGCUGGCGGCGUGCCUAACACAUGCAAGUCGAUCGAGAAAGUGGAGCAAUCCAUGAGUAAAGAGGCGCACGGGUGAGUAACACGUGACUAACCUACCCUCGAGUGGGGAAUAAACCUGGGAAACCCGGGCUAAUACCGCAUAAUACCCACGGGUCAAAGGAGCAAUUCGCUUGAGGAGGGGUCGCGGCAGAUUAGUUAGUUGGCGGGUAAUGGCCCACCAAGACGAUGAUCUGUA